rnacentral:rRNA from 1 species
UACAAAGGGUGCAAGCGUUACUCGGAAUUACUGGGCGUAAAGCGUGCGUAGGUGGUUUGUUAAGUCUGAUGUGAAAUCCCCGGGCUCAACCUGGGAAUGGCAUUGGAUACUGGCAGGCUAGAGUGCGGUAGAGGGUGGUGGAAUUCCCGGUGUGGCAGUGAAAUGCGUAGAGAUCGGGAGGAACAUCUGUGGCGAAGGCGGCCACCUGGACCAGCACUGACACUGAGGCACGAAAGCGUGGGGAGCAAACAGG